UUUGGGGGGCCAGUGGGGGCUCGAACCUGGAGGGAGGGCGGUCUGGGGCGGAGUCGGAGUUCUGGGACCAAGGGUGGGGAUGCAGGGGUGACAACAUGUGCGAGGAAACCUACGGGGGUGACACCGGCGGUGGCUGGCCCGGAGGAAACCUGGGACGCCCCACCCGGCUGUCCUUCGCUUGGAUUCUCUCUCUCCAGAAUGCGGGAUCCGAGGCUCCGAGUGUCCGGCUCGGUGUGUGCGCACGUGUGUGCUGUGGACUCCCCCUCCCCCCGUUUCGUUUCCUGACGCCUUUAACAAGGCGAAGUAGACCGCCCCCCUCGCGGCGGGGCCGCUGGCUGGGGCCGCAUUUCAGUGGGCCGAUAGGCGAACUGGGCACUUGGUGUGACACCUGGGCGGAGGUGCUUAGCCUGCGUGCGCGUCUUUCCUGACCUGGGGAGAGUCUACACUGGCCCAGCGGCGGCCGCGGAGCGGCCCGGGAUCCCCUCUCCGGAACCCUCCCUCGGCACAGCCUCCCGGCAGCUGUGUUAAUGUUUGCGUGAUUGUCGAGAGGCGGGUAGGGGGCAGGGCAGGGUCGACCGGAGCGUCAGGAUUCACCUGUGUACUUCGCACCGUGCGUGUUGGAAUUGGGAUCCUGUUCGGCGUGUGUGCGACUCUCCUAGUACGCAGGUUGGAAGUGGCGGAGGAAGUAGGGGUUUGGGAAUCGCGUCCAUAUGGAAAGAUUUGGAAAUGCAAACAUUCAUUUGUCCGCAAGCGCUCUUGGAAGCUAUGCGAUGGCUCGAAGGAUACCUCCCGCUGUCCGCGUUUGAGAUGUAAACCGGUGGCUCUCCUGAGGAGAUCUGAACCUGAUGGCACUCACUGCACUGACCAGUUGCUCGGUGGCCUGCGGGCUGGCUGACCUGUGCCCGCUCCCGUCAUGACGUGCACCAUUACGGCUCCUCACUACUUUCGUGGUGACAUGACACCUGGCUUCUUUCCGCAAGGAACAUUCAGCACACAGCACCGUCCCAGACACAUUGGAUGGGGAUUGGUUUGAUGAUCCUCCCUGGAACAGACCAUGUCAGAGAGUCACCAUGACCAUGCACAGUAACAGCUCAACCUCACCUCUGUUUCCGAACAUCAGCACUUCCUGGAUUCACAGCCCUUCGGAUGGGGGGCUGCCCCCAGGAGCGGUCACUCACUCUGGCAGCUACAACCUCUCCCAAGCAGCCGGGAAUUUCUCCUCCCCAGAUGGUGUGGCCAGUGACCCCCUGGGGGGCCACACCAUCUGGCAGGUCGUCUUCAUUGCGUUCUUGACCGGCGUCUUGGCCUUGGUCACCAUCGUCGGCAACAUCCUGGUGAUCGUGUCCUUUAAGGUCAACAAGCAGCUGAAGACAGUCAACAACUACUUUCUCCUCAGCCUGGCCUGUGCCGACCUGAUUAUCGGGGUCAUUUCGAUGAAUCUGUUUACCACCUACAUCAUCAUGAACCGAUGGGCUUUGGGGAACUUGGCCUGCGACCUCUGGCUCUCCAUUGACUACGUGGCCAGCAACGCCUCCGUCAUGAACCUGUUGGUCAUUAGCUUCGACAGGUACUUCUCCAUCACACGGCCGCUCACGUACCGAGCCAAGCGAACGACAAAGCGGGCAGGCGUGAUGAUCGGCCUGGCGUGGGUGGUCUCCUUCGUCCUCUGGGCCCCUGCCAUCCUGUUCUGGCAGUACGUGGUGGGGAAGAGAACUGUGCCCCCCGGGGAGUGCUUCAUCCAGUUCCUCAGCGAGCCGACCAUCACCUUCGGCACGGCCAUCGCUGCCUUCUACAUGCCCGUCACCAUCAUGACCGUGCUGUACUGGAGGAUCUAUAAGGAGACGGAGAAGCGCACCAAGGAGCUGGCUGGGCUGCAGGCCUCGGGGACGGAGGCCGAGGCCGAGAACUUCGUCCACCCGACCGGCAGCUCCCGGAGCUGCAGCAGCUACCACUUUCAGCAGCCGAGCACAAAAGCCUCGGCCAGGAGCACAUGCGGCCGCUGCCACUUCUGGUUCACCGCCGGGAGCUGGAAGCCCAGCUCCGAGCACAUGGACCAGGACCACAGCAGCAGCGACAGCUGGAACAACAAUGACGCCGCGGCCUCCCUGGAAAACUCCGCCUCCUCCGACGAGGAGGACCUGGGCUCUGAGACCAGAGCCAUCUACUCCAUCGUUCUCCAGCUGCCGGGGCACAGCGCCCUCCUCAACUCCAGCAAGUCGCCCUCGGCAGACAGCCUGCAGGUGCCCGGGGAGGAGCCAGGGGCAGCAGGCCUAGAGGGGAGAGCCGGCCGACCGCAGGCCCAGAAAAGCCUGGAUGGCCGGGGCAGCCUUCAGAAGGGCCUCUCCCAGCUUCCCAUCCCGUUGGAGUCGGCCGUGGACGCCGCCAAGGCCCCGGACGGCAGCUCCUCAGUGGGCAAGACCACGGCCACUCUGCCUCUGUCCUUCAAGGAAGCCACCCUGGCCAAGAGGUUCGCGCUGAAGACCAGGAGCCAGAUCACCAAGCGGAAGCGGAUGUCCCUGAUCAAGGAGAAGAAGGCAGCGCAGACCCUCAGCGCCAUCCUGCUGGCCUUCAUUGUCACCUGGACGCCCUACAACAUCAUGGUUCUGGUGAACACCUUCUGUAACAGCUGCAUCCCCAAGGCCUACUGGAACCUGGGCUACUGGCUGUGCUACAUCAACAGCACGGUGAACCCCGUGUGCUACGCCCUGUGCAACAAGACCUUCAGAACCACCUUCAAGGCGCUGCUGCUGUGCCGCUGCGACCAGCGGCGGCGGCGCAAGCAGCAGUACCAGCAGGGGCAGUCGGCCGUCUUCCACAGGCGGGUGCCCGAGCCGGCCUCCUAGAGGCGCGUCCACUGCCACGCGCGCACGGCCGCCCGCCCCUCCGCUGGGCGUCAGUGAGGGUGGGGGUGAGCCCUGUGACGGCAGAACGCGAUCUCCUCGUCCCACGGUGAAAGGAGCUGCCUGUUUACCGAUCCCUCCCAUAAACCCCGUUUUGCUAUGAAGAGUCAAAUACCAGUUCAGCAAAAAAUAAGCAAGUGAGCAAUGAGCGUAGUGCCACACAGGAAGGGAUCGAUUCUGACUCAACUUUGCUUUUUGGUUUUUUUCCUAAAAGAGGGGAAACAAUGUUUCAUAUCACUUCUGCACCCAGAUUGGCAUGCACGGGCCGUUUAGUCCCCACCAGCUCUGGACUCUCAGUGAGCAUGACCGGCCGCGUCCCCAGGUGUCACCCAGACCCCACGUGGGACACGGCAGGCUAGCAAGUCCACGGUUCCGAAAUGGUUUCACACGCUGAGGAUGGACCCUCUUGUCCCCGUCUUCUGUUGGUGUAUUUAUGCAGACUUCACCAAGUGUCUCUCUAACGUCGAUAAAUGUCACCCUUCAGUCUUCGGCAGUGGUGGCCCCAGGUGACUCUUUAAGGUCCACCUGAGCAGUGAGCAGGGUGUAUUGAGCUUCCUUGUGGCUAAGAAGGGAGGACAGUCCCUCUGUGGGUGUCGGGAGGUACCUCUUUCAGAAGUCAACAGUGACUUCAGCCUAACGGUUCAUUACCCCCAGUGAAGCCUGACGGGAACCCGUCAAAGCGACCCUCCACCAGUGUGUCUGAGCUCACGUGACGGGGGAAGAGGGCACAUCAGCAUGAUUGUAAGAAUGGGUUUGGGCCCACAUUCCAGCAAAGAAUGAGAAAAAACAAUCUUCUAACUCACAUAGCAAACUGCAGAAUGUUACGUCAUCCGUGUGCUAACGCGCGCUGUCUGUGGAGCGGGUCCGUCUGUGCUCAUGCCCCGGCACUAAUAAAUCCGUGCGUGCGGAUUCCAGCCUCCCCAUUCUCUCUGAAACUCCUAUUUUGCCUCCCUCUCAAAAGGCCAUUUCCUGUAUUUAAAAAAUAGAGAAUUAAUUUUAGAAAUGGAAAAAACCCGGAGUUUCGGCAGAACUGUGAAGGUUCUUAACAAUCCUGCUUAAACACCGUCAUCUCACCCUUGUCCUUCUACGAUGGAAGGAGAAAAAGAAGCCCAAGAUGGGUUUAAUUAUCAAAUUGGUUUUAAAUCUCUCAUGAAAGAAAGCUGCUUUUAAAUAUACUCUACCGACUCCAUUUAUAGAAAUGUAUGUCCAACUCUUAGGUCAUCCUCAGAAAAGGAAAAUAAGAAAACAGAUGCUUUUGAAUAUGGAGAAUUGAAAAGUGUGAUCAAAGGUGUAGUGAAGUGUUUAUCACCAGACGUGUGUUUCUCAAAGUGCUUGUCAUUGAAAAAGGUACUCAGCAUUUCUAGAUCAAAAUGUCUUCAUCCCCCAAAUGGGAAUCAACCCAUUUCAUUCCAUGUGAAUGAAGUUUGCCAAGCUCCCAGGAUUGGGCGCUUUAAUGGAACAAGUAAACUAAUCAAACCUGAGUAAAGCAUGCGUGGAGAACCACCCCCAGCACGCACACAGGCGCACACACACGUUCUCAUCCCGUGCCCCCGGGCUCUGUUCUCUUCGCUCCGUCCCCUCCCUGCGGCCUUGCAGCUGGUUCACCGUGUCACCCUGAUCAUCCUGACUUCAGACUAGCCCUGACUCUCCCAGCGUGUUCCACCUCUGUUCCCCCUCUCACGUGUCACCGUGUUAGACUCUGGAAGAAGGCGAACAGGCAGGGAAGCGCGAGCAUGAGAAGCCGCAGUGGCUGAAGACUCAGAAGUCACCCCGGCCCUCCCCGUCAGCCCCCCGUGUGCACGUGGACAAGUUCCAUCUGUUUUGUUGGUAAACCUGGAAUUUUAGAUUUCACUUCAGUCCAGGCUGACCCCUUGAGGCCUGACCACCUUACAAGUGGAGCUGUUGGGUAGCUAUUUGUUGGGCUUUUCAGUGCUCUCUCUCAGAAUGGACUGAAACUGCAUAGAAUACAGCUCCCCAGACAGUCACCCCUCCUUCACCCAGCCGCUCCCGCCACCUUUACUCACGCGCAGGGGGUGACAGCGAGGGGCAGCGGUGCAGACGCGAGGCUGUCCGAGGCCCCAGGGCAGCGUGGCCCCUUCCCUCUGCGGACUUCAGUGCCGCUGCCCCUCCUUGUGCUUUCGUGACGCAGGAUCCUAGGGAUUCAGCCUCUACCAGGAUCAGUGCCGUGUGAAUCAGUGCCCCAGACCUCAGUGGCGGUCACCCAGGGCUCGUUAGAACCGGGAAGCCCGUUUUCUUUUUCUGGCUUCAGUGUCACUGCCUGAGAAAGGAGGCCCAAGUUGAGACAAUACAAGUGAAUGAAGAAAAACAAACUCAUAAGGUGACUGUACUCAGCAUAAGUUGUAACUGCAUCAUGUUUUGUCAGCAGGCUCCAAAAUGGGCAAGUGUUUGUACUGCUGUUUAGUUAGACACACGCUACAUUCACAGCUUCGGGCACAGAGAUGGACGGUGCGCCAGACGUGUGGAGGCAGAUGCCCGCGUCCUUUAGUGUGAUGUCAGGACCGUGCGCGUUCUGGUAGAACUAUGGAGAGUCGGCAGAGUUCUGACCCUGCCACUCUUGGCCUGAGGGGGACAUUCCAGAUAGUCACCCAGAUCCAAGGUGGUUCUUGUCUGAGCUGCACACGGAUCCCACACGAGAGGCACAUGGAACAGGAGGCUGUGGUCUCAGCUGCAAAGACACGUUCAUAGCACUUCCCACACCCAGAUAACCCCGCCUUCAACCUGAAAGCUUAUCCCCGGAAUACAGACAUCUCUUCUUACCCUUUCUUGCCGUCCAAAAUAGGUACUAACUCUGCAAGUUACGUAGCACACCCCAAACUAAUUUUAUCAUGUCCUGUGACCCCCCUGAUGACUGGUGCCUGUGGCCGGCACAUUGUCUGUCAACCAGUAGACAGUAAACGUUGUUCAGUGUUAAUUAACCAGCUCCUUGUAAUUCAUAUGCAAAUAUUUCCAAGAACUGUGUGCAUGUCAGUGCCCCAGGUUUCUGCUAUACCCAGGGGUCAUGGAGCUGGGAAAGGAAAUUAAAGGAAAAGUGGUUCAUUACUAGGAUGGUUUCCUGAUAAAAUGUGACUAAGCAAGAAGGAAAAUAUUUUAAUAGAUUUAAAGUAGUAAAUAUAAUUAAGAGGACAGGAAGGGAAAGAAUCAACUUUCCUUUAUCCCUGGAAUUUGGAAACGUUUUACCAAGCGUGGUCAACUAACUCCACCUGGUUGUCCUAGCAAGAGAAGCAGUGGGGGAGCCCAGAGCGUCUUGAAACAAGUCUUCUGUUUGUACAGGUGAAGUUCUGUUAGUUGGGCUUAAAACAACCGUGCACAUAGCUUUGCUUGGUGUGGAAGUUAGGAGAGAACCCAUUCUGCUGUGCAAGCAUUCGGCAAAAGCCCUCUCUUCCAUCCCUCCCUCACACCCAGCUGGGGCUCCAGCCUCCUGCAUACAUCACCCCAGAGAAACCCCUCCGGAGCUCGUGCUUAGAGCUAAGAGAAGGCACAUUCUGAGCAACGCCCCCCCCUUUUUUCUCCAAACACAUGGGAACUGUCUCUAAGUUUGGUGCAGGUUUGAGGGGUAACUAAAUUCAAAUUGGCUUCCAAGUUGGUGAGUCAGCAUAUCGGUUUUUCUUGGCAGAAAGCUUUCUGGAAAACGUCUAUGAAAUGUUGAGUGAUGCUCACAUCCUUCGGAUUCACGAGGGUGUAGAAACCACUGUCCAAAGAGAUGGCUGUAUACUUGCUUUGUAAGCAAAAGGCAUGUAUCAUAGUUGCAUCUGAAACGGUGUCCCUGUCUUUCUCACGGCACUGGAUUUUACCUUUUUUACUUCCUAGUGUCCAGCACUUCCUCGGUAGUCAUUUUAGGUAUGUCAUGUGCCAUUUUUAUUCCUUCUCCUAAAAAUAAGUCAAUUGUCUGUACUAUGAAGUGAUGCCUGCAACUUUGUGGUGAUAUUAUUUCCUAAGUUUAAUGGUGAAAUAAGGAAAUAAAACUAUAAGUGAACAAAGAAUGUGGUUGGCUUUCUUUGUAAUCAAAGAUCAGUGACGCAGCAGCAGUUUUUUCUUGUGUAAAGGCGUGGGGGGCACUGCAGAGGUAAUUGUGAAGCAAACCAUUAUUUGCAUUGACUUCUCGCUUGUAUUUUUCUAGAUUUUUUAGAUUUUGAGGUGGGUGGGAUAAUUUGGCUAAUUUAUUUAUUUAAUGGAGGUACUGGGUAUUGAACGCAGGACCUUGUGCAUGCUAAGCACAUGCUUUACCACUGAGCUGUACCCUCCGCCACCCCCCGAAUCUCUUUUUCUUAUGCACUCAAACGUUCUUCAACCGUGAACAUUGCUGCUGUCAUAGCCCGGGACACUUAAUGCCCUGUGUUGAGGACUGUGAAUGUAUUAACUGUAUCUGCACAUGUAAUGCUUAUUUUAAGACUGCAUGUGAAGAAAAAUGUUUAUCUCUGGAUAUAUACUGUUGACCUAAAAUGAAGAGAUCACCAGAUAUUUGUCCAGCAAAGAUGGGUUUGUACGGGACCAGCAGAGAAUUGGUUCAGGGUCUGCAGCUGUGGUGAGCCCCACGCGGUCCCUGGACAGCAAAGGCAGGAGAGGCUCUUACGGGGGAUGGAAGUCCAGAGGGCUGAGUAAACAGAGAGUCCGUGGCUUUGCGUUGGGUGCACCCCUGCCAGGAAGGAAGGGUCUGUCUGCUUGCUGUCGGCUCUGCUCCCAAAGCAGGGUGUGAGGGCUCCCUGCUGGUCUCCCAGCUCUGGCCCACUGAGAUUCUGUUGCUCAGUUUUUUACAGUACAUUGCAGGGAGUUUUACUUUCCUCUUUUGAAAAGAAAUGCUUCUCUCUUGCUUCCCCCGCCUUUUUUUUUUUUUUUAAGAAUUCUUACUUGUUUCUUUUGAAACCAUCAGAUGUUUUCCUACUGAAAGUCAAAACCAAGGAACAUGUCCUAUUGCGCUGACUUUAAAUAACGCUCACUUCCAUGUCUGUCAUCUUUUUGUAGGUGCCUUACUUUCACUUGGUAAUCAGAAAAAUGAUCGCGUCAGGCACCACUUCCUCGAGCUUCUCUUCAUCCCAGACCCUCCCAUGGAGUGGGGGCAUUUUAAAUACAAGCUCGUGAUAACGCUCUGAAUUCUCUAAGUGGCAUGUCUCCCGUAAUGUCUUGCUUGUAAAUCAUGUCUCUAUCACACUUGUUCUUAAUUCACAUUGCCAGUUGCUCUUUUCCGUAAGAAACAUGGAGUUGAGCUCUAAGCGCCGUUACUUCUUGGAUCUGGAGGAGACUGCUCCCAGGAGCCGUGUAGGCUGUGUGCAGACCUGACUUCACCCGGCCUUGCUCUUCUCGUGACUACCACCAAGCCUCUCAAACCAUCCUCCCCAGCAGGUGAUUCAUAGAAACAACAAACAAAGGGUUUGUCUCUCUGCUACAGGCAGCUGCUUUGGAAGCUGUGAAAACAGUUCAAAGUGGUGGUUGUGGCAUAUUUAUAGCUCGCCAGAUGAAAUUUAGUUUCAUAGUCCCCAUGAAUUUUUAAUAAUUACUUCUUUCAUUGAGAUUUUGGCCCAUGGAUCUUUAAGUAACACAAACCCCUCACACACCACGCUGGCACCUAGAAUGCACCAUUUAGAAACCUGACGUCUUCAAAUGAUGCCUAGAGCAGGGGGUAAGUGUCUUUAGAAAUAGUCAACUAUAUUGUGAUGUUAUCUGGGUUAGCUUGAAGUGAAAAGACCCGUGGCGCUUGCCGAGACAGUGGGCAGACGGAUGUGGUGCUCACCCUCUCCCACAAAUGCAGUGAAAACUGCAUCUCUGUACGGAACAAACCUCACAGAAUACCAACUGAGCGUGUCAGUGUCUCUUCCAAUCAGAAGUACAAGGAGAGCCUCACAAAACUAAGUAAACAACAAGGUCCUGCUGCACAGCACAGGGAACUAUAUUCAGCGUCUUGCAGUAACCUAUGGUGAAACAGAAUAUGAAGAGGAGUCCGUGUGCGUGUAUGCAUGACUGAGACGUGAUGGAAACACCAGAAACGGACACAACAUUGCAAACUGACUAAACUUCAAUAAACGUGAGUGAACCUGAAGAAGAGGAUCAGUAGAGGCUCAGAUUCAGUUAGAGGAGGUUCGUAAUUAACAGAGAUGCUGAAGGAGGACCAGUGCUACCCGCCCUCUGCGGUGAGCUCCUUUAACCAGGAUUUCACACGAAAGGCCAUCUCUGAAGUUGACUUCAGAACAGUAGGAAAGGCCAGCCCUUUGCCACUGGGCUGGAGGCUCAUCUCCUCCCAGACACUGUUGUGGAAGACCAUUCCCAGCUUUCCGUGCAAUCAGGGACGUAGCUUCGGUUGUUCCGAGCAGCAGUGACAGGACGAGCCGCCUAAUGCUCCGUAUCCACCGCCCAGCUCCCGCCAUCAGCCCGCGCUCCAGUCCGCUUCAGGACCUCGCUUCCUAGGGACCUGCUCACAACCCCCAGAAAACACUUGUUGAAAUUCUAUUUCCCUUUUUUCAAUUGUAUGAGAAGCCAACAGUAUAUGCGUAACGUCAGCUUUCCUUAUCGAGGAGGGAAAACUGAGUUAGAACAUGAGACUCUGCUCUACUAACCCUGCACACAGUCCCCUAACCCUCUUCUUCCUGCCCUGUGUGUCCGGUUACCCAGAAGUAAGUCUCAUCUCAUUGACACCAAGUAUAUUAACUUCACACAGGCUUUCUAACCUGAUGUAGGACCUUCCUGCUUUGACAAGAAGGAAACAAAUUUGUCUCCUGUUAAGGAAACUAAGUAUCAUUGUGUUAGCUAAUAGCUGGCAAACAGUAGGUGACUUCAGAAGGUAGAAUCCAUGUGUAAAGUCAGAGAUACAGAGAUAAAUAAAAAUAAAAAUAAAAUAAAUACUCACUAUUCAUUAAGAUACAACAGAUUCCUUUUUUCUUUCGGAUUCAAAAAUUAGAUUUAGGUCUUAGUGCACUCCAAAGUUUGAGUAACCCUGCCUGGCUAGAAUACCAUAGAUCCUUGAGUUAGAAGGGACCCUUUAAGGAUUCUCCAGCCAAAUUUAUACUCAACAGGGACUAAAUUCGCAGGGGUCCCUCCUUCUACAGCAUUCUUGGCAACUGGUCACCGAGAUUCUACAUAAAUAAUUCCAAAGGUGGGAAACUCAUUAAAUAAAGCAGACCAAUUUGUGUUUAGAGAAUUUUAAUUGUUGUGUUACACUUUAUCCAUUUCUUCUAGCCUCCAAUUCUAGGGCAUUGGUCUUCAAACUGGGGUGCAAAUACCAAUGGGGAUAUAUGAGAACUUCCCGGGGAGUAUCAGAGUGUGGUCAGUUUAAGAAGUCAUUUUCUGUUUCCUCGGCUGCCAUCGAUAUUCCUUCUCUGUGCUUGAAAAGACUCUUUUCUCCUUUAUGCCUCCCUGUCUCCCAGUCUGCAUGAUGGGCCUCUCACCCACCCCAAAUGGCACUCCUGUGCACAAAAAAUCUGGAGAAUACUUUCAAAAUGCACGGUUCCUAAGAGACUGUCCUGUGUCAGAAAAGGAAACAGCAUCAGUAAGAAAUGCAGACGAAGGCAGUGCUUUAUUUCAUCCAGGAAACAGACUGAUGCUAAAGCUCCGUGCCUCUGUCGCCGUAUGUGUCCAUCAUCUACCUACCUGUCUGUCCAUCCAUCUGUCCAUCCAUCCAUCCAUUAAACUAUUCAUGAGUGAGAAUUCAAAGGCGAAGAAGAUGUCAUAAGAACACGUAUUAACACACUUACUCGAGUUAGAAAAUUAGGUUAGGUUUUUUCCUAACGUAAAGUAAAUGCAGUUUGGUUGAUUAGUUUGACACUGAGGGCUGGCUUCCUAGUUGGAUUAUAUGAUGUACAUUUUCCAUCAGGUGAAUGAAAAAAUCUGCACUAGUUUUUGUUAAAAUGUAUGUUGAAUGAGCAUAGGUAAUAUGGCAUAAGCAGGAAAUUGCAUCCUUUGAACUGUUUGACUUCUGACCAAAUUGUUUACAGACAAAUUUAAAAUAUGCAAGAGGUAGAGAGCUUUCAAAACUUCUUUUGUAUCCGCAAGAAAAAAAAAAAGCAGAGCAAUAGAAGACAGAACAUUAAACUCCCUCGUCCAUAAAACAAGUUUCGCAGUGUAGGAAGACAACUCUCAUUUACCACGCAGCUCUUGUUCCUCACUUAAAGCUUUCCUAAUGACCUCAGCCACUCCUCAGAGUUCAUGUUCAAGGGCAUCACGAGAUGAGAAGGAGUGAGUGAUCCCAGUAAAUCUCAGCUCUGUCUUUUCCCAUCUCCAGCUCACACACCCCCUCCCCCGAGCCCUCGGAUACACUUGUCCAGCCCCAGUGCCCAUCACGCACAGCCAACGAAAUACUGUGGUGACACCCACGGCUUCAUUCUCCAAAGACCCGGUGAGCAACUUGACCAUAAUUGCAUAGCCUGAUUCUACCCUUUGACGCAAUCUCAGGGUGGAAGAGAGCCAGGAGGUAGGAGCCCAUGAAGGAAGAGGGAAGCUGACAGAAAAGAAGCGUGUGUCUCACUGCGCUGAGGACGAGAGCGGGUCCGGGAGCAAGACCACUCUUCCGUGGUUGGACUCAGUCGUGCUGUACGUACCCGGUGUAGGAGGCCAUGCUUCUGAGAGAAGAGGGCGCCGUGCUCUUUGCUUCUUUCAGUCUGUGACUUUCUCUGUCACCACCACCAUCUCAAGCCCACUGCCGGCCAGAUCUUGCACGAAGAGCUAGAGGCUUCUCUAAGCACACCUUCAAGGAAAGGGCCGAUGCAAAGAGAACAGAGAGGCAAAAAGCUUCUGGGCUUCUGAGGGGACUUUAAUCAACGUGUAAUAGAAAAACAAGCCUGUAGAGCCAAAAGCAAUCAACAAGCACCUGGAAGAGAAAAAUGUUCUCGGGAAGGCUAACCACCUCACCCCCUCGGCUUCUACCGAAGGACGUCCGUCUCUGCGUCCCCAGAAAUACUGCCCCGCCCCCCACGGAGUUUCUCUGAAGUGUAUGCCCCAGGCCGUCACGGUCUGUGUGGCUGUGGCCCUCAGCUGAGCUGGGCGCUCUCGACCAGAAUCAUGUCUGGGUCUUCACGGAGCCCCCAGAGCCGCGCUCCCUGGGAGCUGCAUCUCUUCUUCAGCUGGUAGCCAGAUGCUGCUGUUCCUGUGCUUGUUUUCCUGUUUCACAAGCCUUGCUCCUGUCCAGCUCAACAGCGUCCUGCCUCCUGUCAGGCAGAGGCUCCUGGUGGUUUGCGAGCCAGAGGGGAUGCAGAGAGGGAAGCCCCUGGCGGUCCUCACUCUUGGCCCAGGGACUCUGAGCCCCGGCACUCCUCCAGGUCCACAGCGGCUGCAGACCCUCUGAACAUCCCCCCACCCCCGGGAAAUGCAGAGUUCUUCUGAAAGCUCCUCAGUCACCUCUCUCAUGCCAGAUCUUACUUUAAGCAGUGCUGUUACAUGUGCCUCCCCCCGCCCCCGCCCCAGAUCUUCCUUGUUGCAGAUGUGUACUGACCUUGAGGAAAACAUCUACUAAUUUCAUCCACAACAAGAUAUGAAUGGUGUGUUAGUUUCUAUUUCUGUUAUACCAAAUCAUCACAAACUUAGCUGCUUACAGGAAUGCUAAUUUGCCAUUACCGUUCUGUAGGUCACAGUUUAAAACGAGUAUCACUGGAUCAGAAAUCCAGGUGUUGGCAGGGCUGUGUCCCUUCUGGGCUGUCUUUCCAGCUUCUAGAGGCUGCCUGCAUUCCUUGACUCAUGGCCCCUUCCCUCUUUAAAGUCUGCAAACUCAUCGUUGAAUUUCUGCUUCUGUCGUGACAUCUGCUUCUCUGAGGAGGAUUCUCUGCUUCCCUCUUCCACUUAUAAGGACUCAUAAUUAAAUGGGGCCACACAGAUAAUCCACAAUAAUCUCUCCAUUUUAAGGUCCUUAACUUAACCACUCCUGUUAAGUCCCUUUUGGCUUGUAAGAGAACAUAGUCACAGGCUCUGGGAAUUAGUACGUGGACAUCUUUGGGGCCCUUCUUCUGCUUACCAGAAGCGCCAGUCCUCCCUGAGAUGGACAGAUGCUUGCACUUCAAAAGAAAUGCCUACGAAAUUGGUUUCUGGAAGUGGCAUUCAAGGCACACCAGCAUCUGGCUGUGAAAGAGGACCUUUGGAGAGGAGGGGAUGGGGUCUUACUAGCCUGUUUAAAAAGGACAUAAAUGCCUAUCUCAAUGACAUAUAUAGACAUGGGGUUAAAAAUUCUAGGUUCCACAGCUGUUCUCUAAUUGACUAAUAAUAUGAAAUGUACAUAGAUUUUCUUGUUACUUCAAAUAACAUCCAUUGUGUUUGAAGGGCCAUAUGAGUUUCUCAAAUCCUUCUAAGUAUGUUUUUAGCAGUAAGUCCCAGUUUUUCCCAAAAGAACCCUCAAAAAUUCAGUGAUAUACUUGAAUUAGUGACAUAGGACAGAGACCGUUUCGCUGAAUGCUUGCUGUGGGCAAGGCACUCUGCUCGCAUAUUUGUGCCCCAUUUAUUCCUCCUAUAAUCUUAUCAGAGAGUUCACGUGCAAAAGAGAAAUCAGGUCUCAGAAAAGUUGCUCACCUAGGAUCAAUAUCUAUGAAAUGACUGACCUAGAAUUCAGAUACUCGUCUGUCUAAAGGCUUUAGCGCCUCUUCCAUGAAGUUACCAGGCGUCCUUUGUUAGUGAGUCUUCUUCAUUUCCUCUCUCUUGUUCUCCGUGUCCCCUGUGCGCCUUUGGUCGUGUUCACAGCCAGCAAAAUCCACUUUUGAGACUGACGAGGGGGCCUAGUAGUGGACUCUGUUGCACACGAAUGCUCAGUGCAAAUGGUUUUGAGAUGUGCGGGUGGCUGAGCCACAGGACUGAAAUGGGUUCUGCCCUGGGCAUGGCUUCUGUGAGUCCAGGCUUUCAGGGACAUUUGAAUGAGUGUCGGCCAAGUGUCCCCGUGACCCUUGCCUGUACCUCUGUCCAGCCUCUGAUCUUCGGUUGACCGACUUCUGUCCUGCCCCGGACCCUUCGCAGGGUUGUCUGAGCUCUGCUGUGUCUCCUGGCCUCUCCUGGUAGCUGAUCUGUAGGCUUGCUGGGCUGUCGGCUCCCUUGCUGAUCACACUCCCAGGCCUUGCACUGAUCUUUCUGGGUCUCUGCCACUCGCCUUGCGGGCCCUGGCUGCCCCUGGUGCUGGCUUUGACCCAACAAGACAUGGUAAAGAGGAAGAAUGGCAAAAUAUACUGUGCAAAGUUAACAAACAGAAACCUCAAGUAAAUGAAGCCUGGAAACCAGAAGGGGUGGGUUUUCACACCCUGCUGUAACGUCAGAGCCCAACAGGAGACAGAAAGACUCCUCCUUCCUGGCAGGAACUCGGCCACUGAAAAGCCGUGGGUUUUCGUUUGCUCAGCCCUCCCGACUUCCUUCCCCCUGCAGUAUAGGAACUGCACAGGGCUCACCGUGGCUGCAGACCCUGAGCCAGUUCUCUGCUGAUCCCGAAUAAACCCAUCUUUGAUGGAGGAAGACCUGACACACUAUUCACUUUAGGUCAAUAGUCUAGUUCAGAACAGUGGGGGUUUUUUGUGUGUGUGGUUUUUUUUUUUCUGUAUGGUAUAAAAAUGCUAUGAUUCAAAAUGUGUGGAACCCUUUCAUUUAAGCCACUUCUUUCUCUGACAAUAAAAUAAGAAUAAUAAAACCCUAAGUAUGUUGCAUUAUUUUGAUCCCCACACCUAGUUGGAGGGAGGGGUGGGGGAGGGGCUGUUUGUGUGCUGAGAGAGGAAUUAACGUGCUGCAUUCAGUCUAUGAUUCACAUGCUUUCUGAAGUUUCACACAAAGCUGAAAUGGAUGGCAUCAUAAAAAUACGGUUGCGCAGUUGAGAUUGGGACAUUUCCAGUGACUAUGUGACCUUGGUUGUUACUACUGAAGAGCUAUCUGGACAAAGACCACUGCUUGAACUCUGAGUCAACAAAACUAUGGAAGGCCCAUUAGAGAAAGCAGUAAGUGUUCUUGCUGUCUCAAAUCAUUCUGACACCUGCUAAUCAAGAAAGGGCCAGCUGUCCAACUUGCAGAACGAGUAUAAACCAGGGAGAAAGUUCCAGCAGUCACAUGGGCGCACACUUUCAAGAGCUGCAGCAUCAAAGGCUGUACAAAAACAAAGCAAAACAAAACCAUGGACAUUAAGGACCUUGAUUCAGAAACACUGACUGAACACCAAGAAUCUUUGGAAAUUCCUGAAACAAUUUAUUUUGCUUGUAUUCUUUUAUGUAUACAUGUGAAAAACACAUAUUUAAAAAUCCACAUCUAAAUUCUCCAAGAGCUCUGUCAUUAAAUGUACAAUGACAAUAUUAAUGACCAAAAAUCACUGGCUUCUGUAAACCUAAAAAUGUUCUAAAAUAAAAAUUUUCUUUAAAAAAAAUAAGCAUUAGGUAAUAGUAGAAUUGGAGGAGCUCUUCUUUCUCCUUGGUGCACAAAAUAAUGUUCUCACAACUGAUGACCUAAGACUCAGUGAAGUACAGAAUUUUCUGUUUGAUUCUGUGUUAUUUUGCUGCUAAAGUCAAAAGACAUUAUAUUCCUAGAACAAGAGGUAAUGACUUUCAAAGUGUUAUGUUAAUGUUUCAAAAAUCUGACUCCUUACCUACUUUACCAGCAAAUGGAAAAGCAAACUAUUUUAAUAAAAGGAAAGCUGUUUGAAGUUAAUAAACUUUUCUGUGGUGCAGGAAUAAA